ACAGGUAGACUCAGAUGUAUAGAUGGUGACUAAGAAAAUUAUCAUAUGGUCACAACUGGCAGUUGAAUCCCCAUGCAGGAUGGAAGAGCUUUGAUGAGAGUAGAGUAAAAUAAUUCUUCUAUUACCUACCCACAAAAAAAAAUAAAAGGUCUUUAACUUCUUUUCUGAAACACAGAUCACCAAAGGGAGAAACUGCUAUGAGUAUGUGGAUGGAAAGGACAGGUCCUGGGCCAACUGGAUGAGGUAUGUGAACUGUGCCCGGGAUGAUGAAGAGCAGAACCUGGUGGCCUUU